GUGGCUGAAAAUGGAUGUGGUGCAGUGGACAGCAAGAGUUCCGGGGGGCGAACCCCAUUACCAGGAGUCUCCCUCAGGCUGCUCGCCUGGAAAUGGGAUGUAUGGUCAAUUCCACUCUACGGCAUCCCAAGGUCUGGGUCUCUGAAUUAGACCAAAUCUCGGGGACAUCUCUGCUCUUAUGACUAAUGACCAACAUCCAUGGGAAGAGUCAGACUGUGGCGAGAGGACCAAAGGGCCCGGGAAAGCAGAGUCUGUCCUGGGAACAAUGGGGUGACUGGAACAUUUAGGCCCCCUUCCACCCACCUAGGAAGCCAUCCCUAGUAGAUACAUGAAGCAAGAUCUGGUGGGCUCUUCCAUGUAGUGGAGGAGGCUAGGGCGUGAGGUGGGUGUAGGGGGGAGGGGAGGAAACUGGGACUGGAGGUCUUAGCCUAAGGACCUCCUUCCUGUUUGUAGGGAAGCGACUGCCUCAGAAAGCUGCUGGGGGAGAGGAGGGAGGCCAUGGUGACUUCCGGGAAGAAGGCCCAACCUCCCUGUGCCCACAUGGGAUUCUCCAGUCCUGGCUUAAAAUAGUGCAACUCUGCCAUUGAUGCUGGACCCAGCCUGAACCUCGAAGGGUUGCAACCAUGGUUUGUGCUGCCAGUAGGAGCGGUGGUUAUGUGUGAGGGUCUACCCAGCUAUCUAGUUCAAAUCAGACUGUGCCCCGUGGCCACAGGGACUAAAACAAACAAACAAACAAACAAACAACCCCACAGAUCCUAGACCUGAAGCUUUGGAUGCAAGUUUCAGCUCUUGCACUGAUCAGCUUCGAGACUUUGGUCUGGUGCCUGCCUGGCUUUCAACCAAAAUGAAGACAGUGGCAUGGCACGGUCUGGUGCCUUUUAACCAAAUGAAGACAGAGCCUUGCCAGACAUAAAGUGGGUGCACAG
ensembl:antisense Nr5a1os nuclear receptor subfamily 5, group A, member 1, opposite strand